AUUAAAGUCCUAAUUAAAAUCCCAAUCUUAAUUCCCAUUAAAAUCCCAAUUUGAAUUUUUCCAGGGCCUUUUCCCGAGGCUCCUUCCGAAGGUUCCGGAUCCCCCUUUCCCAUUUUUCCCACUUCGGGCUCCCCAAGUCCCUCUGACCCCUAAAACCCCGGAAUUCUGGAAAAAACUGGCGUGGGCAAAGAGCCCUGAGGGGUCAGAAAUCCCGGGAAUCCCAAACUGGGAUCCACCAGCCGGGAAAUCCCGGAGCAGGGAUUUGGGAUCAGCUCCAGGGGCUGGGAAUUGCCAGGGAUGGGGAUGAGGAUGAUGAGGAGGAAGAUCCCGGGAUCCCCAAAAUCCGGGAAUGAGCUGAGGAUGCAGCCUGAGGGGGGCUCUGCUCCUUCAGAUUCCCGGGAAUUUUUGAUUCCCUGGGUGGGAUGGGGGGUGAGGGACCCCUCGGGAUGGCCCCGAUCCCGUGGGAAUCCCAUCCCUGCCCUGGGAUCACCAGAACCGCCCCGGGAUCCAGGAGGGACCCGGCCCCAGAUCCAGGGGAUGUUCCCAGGAUCCCUGAUCCAAGGCCCAGAUCCCUGUUCCAGAUCCAGGAAUCCCAUCCCAGCUCAGGAAUCCCAUCCCAGCUCAGGAAUCCCAUCCCAAACCCAGGAAUCCCAUCCCAGCUCAGGAAUCCCAUCCCAGAUCCAGGAAUCCCAUUCCAGAUCCAGGAAUCCCAUCCCAGAUCCAGGAAUCUCAUCCCAGCUCAGGAAUCCCAUCCCAGAUCCCUGUUCCAGAUCCAGGAAUCCCAUCCCAGCUCAGGAAUCCCAUCCCAGCUCAGGAAUCUCAUCCCAGAUCAGGAAUCUCAUCCCAGAUCCCCGUUCCAGACCCAGGAAUCCCAUCCCAAACCAGGAAUCCCAUCCCAGCUCAGGAAUCUCAUCCCAGAUCAGGAAUCCCAUCCCAGAUCCGUUUCCCACAUGGGAUCCCCAAAUCCAGGGGCCAUUCCCAGCAUCCCCAUUUUCCAACACCUGCCCCAAAUCCAGGGAUCAGACCCCAAACCUGUCCCCUAUUCCCGCCCCAAUCCCAGCCCCGUUCCCAAUCCCAUUCCCGCCCAUUUCCCCCCCCGGGGGCGGGCUCGGCCUCGGCCGCUCCUUUUCCAGCCCCGAUCCCAAAUCCCGGUUUUUGGUGGCCGCUGUCCAGCCCGGCCGGGCCGCGCUCCUCCCGCUCUUCCUGCUUUUCCCGCUUUUCCCUCUUUUCCACCUUUUCCCUCUUUUCCACCUUUUCCCGCUAUUCCCCCUUUUUCCAGUUUUCCCGUUAUUCCCGCUAUUCCUGUUUUUCCUUCCCGCUAUUCCCACCAUUCCCGGUUUUUCCCUGUUUUUCCCAUUUUUUACCGGUUUUUCCCCGUUUUUUCCCCGCUCGAUCCCGCCGGGAAUUCCGCGCGAUGCCCCCGGGGCGGUUUCGGGGCCGCGGGGCCGGAGCGGGGGCGCCGCUCCCGGAGCUGCUUCAGGCCGGGAAUUCCGGGAACUGGGGGCGCUGAGCCCACAUUGGGGGCCAUGAGAGGUGAGCACCCUAAAUCCCACCCGGGAAUCCCAAAUCCCACCCUGGGAGAAUCCCAAAAUCCCACUGGGAAGGGGACUCCAGAAUCCCAC
rnacentral:lncRNA from 14 species